AUUGAACGCUGGCGGCAGGCCUAACACAUGCAAGUCGAGCGGAUGAAGGGAGCUUGCUCCUGGAUUCAGCGGCGGACGGGUGAGUAAUGCCUAGGAAUCUGCCUGGUAGUGGGGGAUAACGUCCGGAAACGGGCGCUAAUACCGCAUACGUCCUGCGGGAGAAAGUGGGGGAUCUUCGGACCUCACGCUAUCAGAUGAGCCUAGGUCGGAUUAGCUAGUUGGUAGGGUAAAGGCCUACCAAGGCGACGAUCCGUAACUGGUCUGAGAGGAUGAUCAGUCACACUGGAGCUGAGACACGGACAAGAAGCCAACGGAAGGCAGCAUUGGGGAAGAUUGGACAAUGGGCGAAAGCCUAAUACAGCCAUGCCGCGUGUGUGAGGAAGGUCUUCGGAUUGUAAAGCACUUUAAGUUGGGAGGAAGGGCAGUAAGUUAAUACCUUGCUGUUUUGACGUUACCAACAGAAUAAGCACCGGCUAACUUCG
rnacentral:rRNA from 1 species